rnacentral:lncRNA from 1 species
UUUUCACACACCCACCUAACGAACACCGUUUGCUCUUGAAUGUUUCACUCCACUCACAAGAAAUGCCCUUUAAUUUCUACUGUUUACAAACAAAGCUCUCCAGGUCUUAUUCUGUCUCUCAAGUGUACUGGACAAAACUGACCGUGGUUCCUCAAGCAAUGUUUGGUGUCACCUCUCUGCAGGUGACCAAGCCCGUUCCUCACUUCGUACAUUUCCCUCUGUUCUCUGUUCACCCUGGAGCGAGAGAGCUGGAACGGGGACUUUUUCUUUAAUUUGUCCUGCCUGCAAAACUCCUGGAAGCUAUGCCCGGCUUCCCGUUCUCUGCCCCAGCUCCCAGACAGCAGAAGAAGCUUUGUCACACCCAGGCAGAGAGGAAGUGUCUACUUAGGAUUUUGUGGCCCGGGUGUUGUUGCAUACCACAGAUUGUCUAUGGAUCAUGUAGUGCUCCCCUCUCUUGGUGCUAUUUCAUUCCUGAUGUUAGUAAAAGAAUGAC